rnacentral:rRNA from 1 species
AGCGGAGGAAAAGAAACCAACAGGGAUUGCCCCAGUAGCGGCGAGUGAAGCGGCAAGAGCUCAGAUUUGAAAUCGUGUUUCGGCACGAGUUGUAGAGUGUAGGCGGGAGUCUCUGUGGAGCGCGGUGUCCAAGUCCCUUGGAACAGGGUGCCUGAGAGGGUGAGAGCCCCGUAGGGUGCUGCGCGAAGCUUUUGAGGCCCUGCUGACGAGUCGAGUUGUUUGGGAAUGCAGCUCCAAGCGGGUGGUAAAUUCCAUCUAAGGCUAAAUAUUGGCGAGAGACCGAUAGCGAACAAGUACUGUGAAGGAAAGAUGAAAAGCACUUUGAAAAGAGAGUGAAACAGCACGUGAAAUUGUUGAAAGGGAAGGGUAUUGGGCUCGACAUGGGGGGUGCGCACCGCUGUCUCUUGUAGGCGGCGCUCUGGGCGCCCUCUGGGCCAGCAUCGGUUCCUGCUGCGGGAGAAGGGGCUCCGGAAAGUGGCUCUUCGGAGUGUUAUAGCCGGGGCCAGAUGCCGCGUGUGGGGACCGAGGACUGCGGCUUCUGUCUCGAUGC